rnacentral:rRNA from 1 species
AUGCAGUCGAGCGAGUGGAGUUCUUCGGAACAAAGCUAGCGGCGGACGGGUGAGUAACACGUGGGCAACCUGCCUCAUAGAGGGGAAUAGCCUCCCGAAAGGGAGAUUAAUACCGCAUAAGAUUGUAGCUUCGCAUGAAGUAGCAAUUAAAGGAGCAAUCCGCUAUGAGAUGGGCCCGCGGCGCAUUAACUAGUUGGUGAGGUAACGGCUCACCAAGGCGACGAUGCGUAGCCGACCUGAGAGGGUGAUCGGCCACAUUGGGACUGAGACACGGCCCAGACUCCUACGGGAGGCAGCAGUGGGGAAUAUUGCACAAUGGGGGAAACCCUGAUGCAGCAACGCCGCGUGAGUGAUGACGGCCUUCGGGUUGUAAAGCUCUGUCUUCAGGGACUAUAAUGACGGUACCUGAGGAGGAAGCCACGGCUAACUACGUGCCAGCAUCCGCGGUAAUACGUAGGUGGCGAGCGUUGUCCGGAUUUACUGGGCGUAAAGGGAGCGUAGGCGGACUUUUAAGUGAGAUGUGAAAUACCCGGGCUCAACUUGGGUGCUGCAUUUCAAACUGGAAGUCUAGAGUGCAGGAGAGGAGAAUGGAAUUCCU